rnacentral:rRNA from 1 species
GACGAACGCUGGCGGCGUGCCUAAUACAUGCAAGUCGAGCGGACCAAAGGGAGCUUGCUCCUGGAGGUCAGCGGCGAACGGGUGAGUAACACGUGGGCAACCUGCCUGUAAGACUGGGAUAACAUCGAGAAAUCGGUGCUAAUACCGGAUAAUAAAAAGAACUGCAUGGUUCUUUUUUGAAAGAUGGUUUCGGCUAUCACUUACAGAUGGGCCCGCGGCGCAUUAGCUAGUUGGUGAGGUAACGGCUCACCAAGGCAACGAUGCGUAGCCGACCUGAGAGGGUGAUCGGCCACACUGGGACUGAGACACGGCCCAGACUCCUACGGGAGGCAGCAGUAGGGAAUCUUCCGCAAUGGACGAAAGUCUGACGGAGCAACGCCGCGUGAGUGAUGAAGGUUUUCGGAUCGUAAAACUCUGUUGUUAGGGAAGAACAAGUGCCGUUCGAAAGGGCGGCACCUUGACGGUACCUAACGAGAAAGCCACGGCUAACUACGUGCCAGCAGCCGCGGUAC